CUGAUCACCAGGAGGAGAGUUCCUGCUGAGGAUGGAGCCCAAACAGAGGAAUCGCAUUCGUUAGAGGCAUGAUUUAAGCACCUCUGCCUGCCUGAAUGUCCACCCAUCACUGGAUACUCAGUUACACAAGCUAAGGAUUUUCCCUUUUUGUUUAAAAAGUUUGCUGACCAUGCUCCAGACUAGAAAGAAGAGUCACCUAAACAAUUCCCACCCAGGCCAGCCAAGCACCCGCUAAACCCCAGAUCUCAGAAUGACUGUUCCGUGUGUGUCCUGAGAACUUUCAUGAGUAACGCAACAGCAGUGGAUCCAUUGGAGUUCAAUCUAAGUUGAGGAUUCUCAAAGACUGGUAUGUGGGAUGAUUGCAGAUGCACAUGGAGGAGACUGGAAUGACAUCGAAUUACAUAAUAAGAAGGCAAUACUGUUUUCCAUUCUCUGUUAAGUCCUUAUUUCAUCAAGAAGAAACCUCAGUCCGGCGCUGUGGAGCUGUGAUGGUGGGAGCUCCAGGAAUCUUCUUGGACCAUGGGGGACCUUGAGGAUGGAAGUUUUAUGCAGCAGAGUAUAAAGAGGAAGGAAUCUGGGUCCUUGGUGGAGUAUCCCUAUCAGCCCUGUACAGCUGGCUUCCUGACUGUGUUUAUGCAAUAAAGCAAACCCUUGCAUGUCUA